rnacentral:rRNA from 1 species
CAGCAGUGGGGAAUUUUGCGCAAUGGGCGGAAGCCUGACGCAGCAACGCCGCGUGAGUGAUGAAGGCCCUCGGGUCGUAAAGCUCUGUCAGAGGGGAAGAACCUCCUGUCGGUUAAUAUCCGGCAGGCCUGACGGUACCCUCAAAGGAAGCACCGGCUAACUCCGUG